UUAUCCCUGCUUUGUUUGUGAUGGUCCGGGGGAUCGCUUGAACCAACGCGAUGAUGAUGAGAGCCGUGACGCCCUGUGGUGUGCAAGCCUCCGCGCGAGGAAGCCUGAAGCAGGGUACUUGCAGCGGUUCUCCCUGCCGAGGCAGGUUCAUGCGACCUCCCCACACGGCAACGCGGGGCCCUU
rnacentral:other from 1 species